GCUUUCUCAGCCUGGAAGAGCGCUCGGCUCAUAACCGGGUCGUCCCGACGAGCCCCCUACGGGGGGUUCGGAACAGGGUUCAAAUCCCGGCGGCGGCACCA
rnacentral:tRNA from 1 species